CCCAAUGGAAUCUCACAAAAAAAAAAAAAAUUUUAAGUCCCUUCAACUGAGGUGUCUUCAGGCUUUAUCCAGUUGACUGUUAGGUGGACACAGGUGCGCAUCGUCAAGCAAUCAAGCCCCAAUCCGCUUCACCUGCAGGAUUAAGACAUGCACGCAGACUCCACAGAGCAAGGGAAUGGAACAGUCCUGGUCUUCAGUAUAAGUUGUUAUCCAGCAGACGACAUUUUGUUCCGUUUCUAGAGCACUUUUUCAGUUAGACGAAGAUAAGCACAGGUGAGCCAGUGUCCCAUAAGACUCACUCCCCUUGGCUUUUCCCCAUUCGGUAAGCAGGUAAGAAGCUCAGGCCUGCAGGUGAGUGAAGGGGCUGCUAGACCUCCUCUGUCCAGCCGGGGGAAACGUUUUAGCUACUUUUCAGUCUUUUUCUU